rnacentral:rRNA from 1 species
UGGGGGUAAUGCCUACCAAGGCGCCAAUCGUAGUGGUUGAGAGACGACCACCCACCCCGGAAUGAGACCCGGUCCGGACUUCUACGGGAGGCAGCAGUGGGGAAUAUUGGACAAUGGGGGAAACCCUGAUCCAGCGACGCCGCGUGUGUGAAGAAGGCCUGCGGGUUGUAAAGCACUUUUAGUGGGGACAAAAAGCUACGGAUUAAUACUCUGUGGUCUUGAUUUAACCCACNAGAAAAAGCACCCGGCUAACUCUGUGCCAGCAGCCGCGGUAAUACAGAGGGUGCGAGCGUUAAUCGGAAUUACUGGGCGUAAAGCGCGCGUAGACGGUUUUGUAAGUCAGAUGUGAAAUCCCUGGGCUCAACCUGGGAACUGCAUUUGAAACUGCAUGGCUAGAGUAUCGAAGAGGGAAGUGGAAUUUCCGGUGUAGCGGUGAAAUGCGUAGAUAUCGGAAGGAACACCAGUGGCGAAAGCGACUUCCUGGUCGAAUACUGACGUUCAUGUGCGAAAGCGUGGGGAGCAAACAGGAUUAGAUACCCUGGUAGUCCACGCCAUAAACGAUGACAACUAGUUGUCGGGUCUUAAUUGACUUGGUAACGCAGCUAACGCGUGAAGUAGACCGCCUGGGGAGUACGGUCGCAAGAUA